CAUCGGCUGAUUGAGCAGCCAAUAGAAACUGAGUGAUCUCAAGAGCCAUUUCUCCUACAAAAUUUGAAUUAAAAACAAAAGUUUCUUGGUUUCGAACGGGAAAGCACGAACUAGGGAACAAAAUCAAUCAAACAGUAUUUGAUUGAUACAGUUCCAAAAUAUUCAUUCAAGUUAAUGUGACUGAUUUAUUUACCAAAUCUCUACCAACGAUCG
rnacentral:lncRNA from 1 species